rnacentral:miRNA from 1 species
GCGGAGCUUGGCGCGCG